UACGUAGGGGCCGAGCGUUGUCCGGAGUUAUCGGGCGUAAAGCGCGCGCAGGCGGCCUCGCGCGCCCGACGUGAAAGCCCACGGCUCAACCGUGGAGGGUCAUUGGAAACUGGGGGACUUGAGUGCAGGAGAGAAGAGUGGAAUUCCACGUGUAGCGGUGAAAUGCGUAGAGAUGUGGAGGAACACCAGUGGCGAAGGCGACUCUUUGGCCUGUAACUGACGCUGAGGCGCGAAAGCGUGAGGAGCAAACAGG
rnacentral:rRNA from 1 species